AACGAACGCUGGCGGCAUGCCUAACACAUGCAAGUCGAACGAGACCUUCGGGUCUAGUGGCGCACGGGUGCGUAACGCGUGGGAACCUGCCCUUAGGUUCGGAAUAACUCCCCGAAAGGGGUGCUAAUACCGGAUAAUGUCUUCGGACCAAAGAUUUAUCGCCUUUGGGUGGGCCCGCGUUGGAUUAGCUAGUUGGUAGGGUAAAAGCCUACCAAGGCGACGAUCCAUAGCUGGUCUGAGAGGAUGAUCAGCCACACUGGGACUGAGACACGGCCCAGACUCCUACGGGGGGCAGCAGUGGGGAAUAUUGGACAAUGGGCGAAAGCCUGAUCCAGCAAUGCCGCGUGAGUGAUGAAGGCCUUAGGGUUGUAAAGCUCUUUUACCCGGGAUGAUAAUGACAGUACCGGGAGAAUAAGCUCCGGCUAACUCCGUG
rnacentral:rRNA from 1 species